UACAGGGGGUGCAAACGUUGCUCGGAAUCAUUGGGCGUAAAGGGUGCGUAGGCGGCGCGGUAAGUCGGGUGUGAAAUUUCGGAGCUUAACUCCGAAACUGCAUUCGAUACUGGCGUGCUUGAGGACUGGAGAGGAGACUGGAAUUUACGGUGUAGCAGUGAAAUGCGUAGAUAUCGUAAGGAAGACCAGUGGCGAAGGCGGGUCUCUGGACAGUUCCUGACACUGAGACACGAAGGCCAGGGGAGCAAACGGG
rnacentral:rRNA from 1 species